CGGAGAGUUUGAUCCUGGCUCAGGACGAACGCUGGCGGCGUGCUUAACACAUGCAAGUCGAACGAUGAAGCGGUGCUUGCACCGUGGAUUAGUGGCGAACGGGUGAGUAACACGUGAGUAACCUGCCCCCUUCUUUGGGAUAAGCAUUGGAAACGGUGUCUAAUACUGAAUAUUCACACAUGGGCGCAUGUUUGUGUGUGGAAAGUUUUUCGGUGGGGGAUGGGCUCGCGGCCUAUCAGCUUGUUGGUGGGGUGAUGGCCUACCAAGGCUUUGACGGGUAGCCGGCCUGAGAGGGUGACCGGUCACACUGGGACUGAGAUACGGCCCAGACUCCUACGGGAGGCAGCAGUGGGGAAUAUUGCACAAUGGGCGAAAGCCUGAUGCAGCGACGCCGCGUGAGGGAUGACGGCCUUCGGGUUGUAAACCUCUUUCAGUAAGGACGCAGGGGCAUCUUUGGGUGUUUUGACGGUACUUGCAGAAGAAGCGCCGGCUAACUACGUGCCAGCAGCCGCGGUAAUACGUAGGGCGCAAGCGUUGUCCGGAAUUAUUGGGCGUAAAGAGCUUGUAGGCGGUUUGUCGCGUCUGUCGUGAAAUCCAGCAGCUUAACUGUUGGCUUGCGGUGGGUACGGGCAGACUAGAGUGUGGUAGGGGAGACUGGAAUUCCUGGUGUAGCGGUGGAAUGCGCAGAUAUCAGGAGGAACACCGAUGGCGAAGGCAGGUCUCUGGGCCAUUACUGACGCUGAGAAGCGAAAGCGUGGGGAGCGAACAGGAUUAGAUACCCUGGUAGUCCACGCCGUAAACGUUGGGCACUAGGUGUGGGGGGCUUUUUGGUCUUCUGCGCCGUAGCUAACGCAUUAAGUGCCCCGCCUGGGGAGUACGGCCGCAAGGCUAAAACUCAAAGGAAUUGACGGGGGCCCGCACAAGCGGCGGAGCAUGCGGAUUAAUUCGAUGCAACGCGAAGAACCUUACCAAGGCUUGACAUGCACUGGAACACUGCAGAGAUGUGGUGGUCUUCGGACUGGUGUACAGGUGGUGCAUGGUUGUCGUCAGCUCGUGUCGUGAGAUGUUGGGUUAAGUCCCGCAACGAGCGCAACCCUUGUCUCGUGUUGCCAGCAC
rnacentral:rRNA from 2 species